rnacentral:rRNA from 1 species
GACGAACGCUGGCGGCGUGCCUAAUACAUGCAAGUAGGACGCAGUUGCGAACGGGUGAGUAACGCGUAGGUAACUGCCUAUUAGAGGGGGAUAACUAUUGGAAACGAUAGCUAAUACCGCAUACUAGUAGAUGGACCUGCGUUGUAUUAGCUAGUAGGAUGGGUAAGGGCCUACCUAGGCGAAGAUACAUAGACGGCCUGAGAGGGGGAUCGGGCAAUCUGGGAAUUGGAAACGGCCCAGACUCCUACGGGAGGCAGCAGUAGGGAAUCUUCGGCAAUGGGGGGAACCCUGACCGAGCAACGCCGCGUGAGUGAAGAAGGUGUUCGGAUCGUAAAGCUCUGUUGUUAAGGAAGCGGUACUUAACCAGAAAGGGACGGCUAACUACGUGCCAGCAGCCGCGGUAAUUC